CGGGAUCCUCCGGCAGCGGCGCCGGGAGCCGACGGCGGCGGCCACCACGCGCUGGGACCGCGGCGGGGCGGGCGAGAGGCCGAGCAGGGUCGCCCGAACAGGAUCGAGAUGACCACAGCCACCACUCUGGGAGAUGCCACCUUCUUCUUGAACAUGACCACCAGGGGAGAAGACUUCCUGUACAAGAGUUCUGGAGCCAUCGUCGCCGCCAUCGUGGUGGUUGUCAUCGUCAUCUUCACCGUGGUUCUGAUCCUGCUGAAGAUGUACAACAGGAAGAUGAGGAUCAGGCGGGAGCUGGAGCCCAAGAGCCCCAAGCCGGCUGCCCCUUCUGCCCUGAACCCAAACAGCAGCAGCAGCCAGCAGCCCGCAGCGGCGACCUUCGGCCCGGCUGAUGUCCACGUGGAGACCCGGUGACCCCUGCCCAGGGAGCUCUCUGCAGAGCGGAGACCCAGCAGCGCACUUCUCCGGCGGCUUUGCCACGAGUCCCUCCGGUCGGGUGGACAGAGGCAUCUUCCACGCAUCCCUGCGGCUUCAGGGGGUCCUUAACCUCAUUCUGGCCUGACCCAGCCCACCCGCGCCCACGUCCCCGCUGCCACUCUCCCGAAAGCUGUGCAAGGUUUUUGUGUCAUCUGAUGAGGUGGCCCUACACUGAGGACCCAUGGAUGGGGGUUUGGCCUUCUGCCCACAAACACAUUAGCUAGACAGACAGACAGACAGGCAGACAGGUAGUCCUGACUCUUCUGGUCAGGAGUCAUGGGUCAAGGAGUGCUUCUGAGAGUGUCCCGGAGUCUUCUCAGAUGAAGUGCCCUGGGCACAGCUUUGCAGAGCAAAACACUGAAUCCCCUCAUCAGGCACAGGGGGACUAACCUGGACUAACUAACCAGAAAACCAACUUGUUAAUUUAUAACCUGUUCCAGGACUGGGUGACCGCUAGCUUGCUAGCUCAUGACGAUUGGUCAGCACAUUUCCCCCCCUUUAAAGUUAAAAAGAAAACGGAAUUCUUCUCAAAAGUUUCUGCCUUGUUAUUAAAGCGUCAGCAGAAGGAGUAGGUGACCUCCAGGAAUAGCAGAGGUAAAGGUUGUCCCAUUGUCCCUGGGCUUGGGAUGAGCCUGGUGGCUAGUCAGGGUUCUUCCUCGGGCUCCAGGGGGACUGGCCCGACACUGUCUCAUUUCUCUGGGUUCUAACCAGCCCUGACAGUCCUGUGAACCCCUUCCCUCCAGCGACCCUUCUUUGGAGACGGCUUAGAUUCCAACUCUGUUACUUCUGUCCUUCUUGGUCACCUUGCAGAGAGACCCGACAUAUCCAAAGCACCACAUUCACACACCAUUUCCCUGUAGAGAGCUCAUCUCUCACCCUGAGCUGGGAGAACAAUCUGCAUAUUAGGGACAACAUUUGGGGAUUGAGAAGGCAGCCUUCCAAGUCCUUCUUCAGGGUGGGUGACCUUGGAAAAGUGACCACCUUUCUAUGUUCCGUGGUGGGAAUGGAAACAGCUGCCUCGUGGGGUUAUCACAAGUCAGAGACCCAGUAAAGCAGCCUGGGUACAGCGCCUGGCCCCCAGAAGACAAUUAGCAAAUGGGAACAAGCAUAAUUACCGAUGGUAUCAGGUAAUGACGGAGGCACACAGAUUUGGUGACGUUUUAAUGAUCCUGAAAUCAGAACACGUCUCACAGUGGAUGGGUCCUCAUUUCUUUU
ensembl:lincRNA